rnacentral:rRNA from 1 species
GACGAACGCUGGCGGCGUGCCUAAUACAUGCAAGUCGAGCGGAUGAAAGAGGAGCUUGCUCCUCUAGAUUCAGCGGCGGACGGGUGAGUAACACGUGGGCAACCUGCCCUGUAGAUUGGGAUAACUCCGGGAAACCGGGGCUAAUACCGAAUAAUCCUUCGGACCUCAUGGUCCGAUGUUGAAAGACGGCAUCUCGCUGUCACUACAGGAUGGGCCCGCGGCGCAUUAGCUAGUUGGUGAGGUAACGGCUCACCAAGGCCACGAUGCGUAGCCGACCUGAGAGGGUGAUCGGCCACACUGGGACUGAGACACGGCCCAGACUCCUACGGGAGGCAGCAGUAGGGAAUCUUCCACAAUGGACGAAAGUCUGAUGGAGCAACGCCGCGUGAGUGAAGAAGGUUCUCGGAUCGUAAAACUCUGUUGUGAGGGAAGAACAAGUACCGGAGUAACUGCCGGUGCCUUGACGGUACCUCAUUAGAAAGCCACGGCUAACUACGUGCCAGCAGCCGCAGUAAGAC